AAACGCUGGCGGCAUGCCUAAUACAUGCAAGUCGAACGAGCAUAGCAAUAUGCGAGUGGCGAACGGGUGAGUAACACGUAAGUAACCGACCUUAAAGACGAGGAUACCCGCUGGAAACGGCGGCUAAAACUGGAUAGGACGAGAGAUCAAAAGAACUUUCGUUUAAAGGUGCAACAGUACUACUUUAAGCCGGGCUUGCGGCGCAUUAGCUAGUUGGUGAGAUAAUAGCCCACCAAGGCAACGAUGCGUAGCAGCGCUGAGAGGCGGAACUGCCACACUGGGACUGAGACACGGCCCAGACUCCUACGGGAGGCAGCAGUAGGGAAUUUUCGGCAAUGGGGGGAACCCUGACCGAGCAAUGCCGCGUGAAUGAUGAAGGUCUUCGGAUUGUAAAAUUCUGUCAAUGGGGAAGAAUGGUCAACGGAGUGGAAAGCCGUUGGCGUGACGGUACCCGUUAAGAAAGCCCCGGCUAACUAUGUGCCAGCAGCCGCGGUAAUACAUAGGGGGCGAGCGUUAUCCGGAUUUAUUGGGCGUAAA
rnacentral:rRNA from 1 species